rnacentral:rRNA from 1 species
GAUGAACGCUGGCGGCGUGCCUAAUACAUGCAAGUCGAGCGAACAGACGAGGAGCUUGCUCCUCUGACGUUAGCGGCGGACGGGUGAGUAACACGUGGAUAACCUACCUAUAAGACUGGGAUAACUUCGGGAAACCGGAGCUAAUACCGGAUAAUAUAUUGAACCGCAUGGUUCAAUAGUGAAAGACGGUUUUGCUGUCACUUAUAGAUGGAUCCGCGCCGCAUUAGCUAGUUGGUAAGGUAACGGCUUACCAAGGCAACGAUGCGUAGCCGACCUGAGAGGGUGGUCGGCCACCUGGGAACGUGGACAGCGUCCAGGGGCCUACGGGACGCAGCAGUAGGGAACGGGACGCAAUGGGCGAAAGCAUGACGGAGCAAGGCCGCGUGAGUGAUGAAGGUCUUCGGAUCGUAAAAACGUGUUAUUAGGGAAGAACAAAUGUGUAAGUAAAUAUGCACGUCGUGACGGUACCUAAUCAGAAAGCCACGGCUAACUACGUG